rnacentral:rRNA from 1 species
UUUAGUGGCGAUAGCGAAGAGGUCACACUCGUUCCCAUGCCGAACACGACGUUAAGCUCUUUUGCGCCGAUGGUAGUUGGGGUUUCCGUGAGAGUAGGACGUUGUUAAGG